UUGGAAACUAGUAUGAACGGUUUAAUUAACCGAAUUAGUUUGGUUUUUUUUAUGAUAGAUUAAACAUAAGGUAAGAAUUCUUUAAUAGAUUGCGGGACGAUAAGACCCUAAAAGCUUUAUAAUUAGUGAAUAACUAGUGGUAUUAGACAAAUUAAUUUACUGGGGCAGUGAUUUAAUAUAAAUUUAAAUAAAAAUAAAAGGUCCUUAAAAUAAAGAUUUUAUGUGCUAGUUACUUUAGGGAUAACAGUGUUAUAUAUUUGGAGAGACCAGAUCUAUAAAUAUGUUUGCAACCUCGAUGUUGAAUUAGAAUUUCUACAUGGGCAGAAUAUUUGUGAGAGAGUUUGUUCAACUUUUAAAUUUCUACAUGAUCUGAGUUCAAACCGG
rnacentral:rRNA from 1 species